CUCUGUUCCUCCUUUGCUGCUAAAGAUCUUAAAUCUGCCCUUAGUGAUAAGAAGUGCAGUGACAGUAGGUGAGAGGUUCCCAAGUCCGUCCCUGGCAGAAGAAGGAGACCCUUCUGCAUUCCUUAAAGGGGUUAUCCACCAUAAGGUUAUUUUAUUCCUGGAGAAUCAAUGUGGUCUGCCUGCAAAAGGGGUCAAACCAUUAUGUCGUGUAUAGGGGAAGGAAAACAUCAGCUUUUCAUGUAUUAUUGAUCUGAUGCAGUUUGAAGCAAUCCUGGGAUUAAGAUAAAUAACGUCUAUUAUGUUUUUUCUCCAAACUUGAUUAGGUUGAUAAUUCAUUUACACUGCUAGCAUUGAGAUUACAGUGCUGUUUAAGGCCUCACACAAAGGUUCUGAGAAUAAUCUAAUGUCCUCAGUAACUGCGCAUUAUGUGUAAGGAAUAACUUGCUGACCAAUGCAUGCUGUCAUGUUUUCUGUCUGCCAUCUACAGACUUCUUAUUAGCCUCCUGUCAGAGGAAUGCAUGCCCAACUAUCCAUCGGACUUUCCUCGUAUAAUCAUGGCAAUUAGUAUGCCGCAGGGAGCGAUCAUUUUUGUGUCCCUUGACAUAUCUGACCUCAGCAGAAGCCUUGGAACAUAAGGGAGACACUCUUGACUCUUAGAUACUUCCACUAAGGGAAUCGACAAGUUCACUGAAAUGAAUUUUACUGAAUUAUAGUAGCGGUCACCAAGUGCAGAUAAUUUAUCAUAACAGAUUAUUUUAUCUCCAGAGUAAUCACGAGAACUUGACUAUUCACUGGAUUCUGGACUCUUAAGCAAAAUCAAGUGCCCGGUAGCACUAUGGCUUGGUCAUUCUUUUCUGUGCGAGGAAAUAAUGAACUCCCAUUACUCUUUAUAAUUACUUUUGAUUAUGACAUUCUGUCAUCUGUUAGACAAGAAAGAGAUUUAUACAAGCCAUUAUUCAAAAAUGACCUUUAGUAGCUCUAGUUAUUUAAGCCUUCUAAUGGACUUGGUGAGUCAUUAAUGGUCAUUUUCC